CGUGAAAGCAAAACGACCAGAUCUGAGAACCACCGCACAAACGGAAUAUUUGAGGAGUAGUUGAUGGCAAAUUAAUUAUCUUUCCAAAAAUACUCUCCACAUGCCACGCAUUGCAUGUCACCCUCCCUCCCUGCUCUCUCUACAGUAAUUUCUCUGGUCAUCUUCUCCCUUGUUUCUCCAAUCGUCGGCGCGGCGGCGACAGGUACUAGGCUUGGAUGCCUCGUUGGCGAGAACGAGGGCCGGCGGCGGCGGCUCUCCGGCGAAUAAGCAAGUCCGGGGCGGAGGGAACCAGGGGCGGCCGAGCGGGUGCAGCAGCUCGCAGAGUCAGGGGCAGGUGUGGCGGCUCGCAGGCGCGGCGGCGGUGGGAAACCGGGGCAAGUGCUGCGGUGACGGCUCGUAGGCCGGCGUGGCGGCGAGAAUCAGGAAGGGCGGAGGCGGAAAUCAGGUAGCCGGUCCAUGUCCACUCCGAAUUGGCCUCCUUCCCCAUCCGAUUUGGCCUCAUUUAUCUCGGCGGCGGAAAUCAGGUAGCCGGUCCAUGUCCACUCCGAAUUGGCCUCCUUCCCCAUCCGAUUUGGCCUCAUUUAUCUCCAAUUUUGCAAGGUGAGAUGAACUGUGUUGCAUAUGCUCCUGUUUACUCCGAUUUUGACCAGGGGAUCUGCUGUUUAUUCAAUAUGAUUAGAGAAGAGCACAUAUAGCCUAUGGGCCAAUGUAUCAAGGACCGCCGCGCCGCCACCCCAAGGCUCAAAGCUGCACCAUCAAGAUGACGUUGGCUGGCUCAUCCGCUGCUACCACAUCGGCAUCGAUACCUACUCCUUCCAAUGGCCGCGAUUUUCAGCCGCAUUCUCUCUAAUAUAUCCUACAUAUAUUGUUUAGAUUGAUUCAUGCGUUAAUUCAAUUCAAUCAUGUCUUGUUCUGUUCGUUUGCAGGCGAUGAGGUGAGCCUGCCAUUUGCUUCCUGCUUCCCUUCCAUACACAAAUAAUUGAGAUGGGAUAACGUAGAUCCAAUUCAAUAUACAAUAAUUUUCAAGAUAUUUAUGUCUGACCAUAUGGGACUGUGAAGACCCUAAAAGAAUUUUGCCUGCUGAGCUACUUGAAGACCAAAGCAAUUACACAUGGAACGUUUCGUAUAUGUACUUUACCUUGCCUAAUUUCAUUUGUUACAAUAGACUGUACUGUACUAGAAUUUCCAUUUUAUAUCACAUGGGUGGGGUUCUUUCAGCCAUAUCACGCCCUCUUAAGUGUGCCAGAUGGCUGGCUACCGGAAUAAUGUAAAUUUUGCCCUACCUUGAAGUUUAUCCUGUAUGUCGGUGAUAA